UAUUGCACAAUGGGGGAAACCCUGAUGCAGCGACGCCGCGUGAGUGAAGAAGUAUUUCGGUAUGUAAAGCCCUAUCAGCAGGGAAGAAAAUGACGGUACCUGAUUAAGAAGCCCCGGCUAACUACGUGCCAGCAGCCGCGGUCAUACGUAGGGGGCCAGCGUUAUCCGGAUUUAUUGGGUGGAAGGGGAGCGUAGACGGGAGCACAAGGCUGGAGUGAAAUGCCGGGGCUUAACCCCGGAACUGCUUUGGAAACUGUGCAGCUAGAGUGCAGGAGAGGUAAGUGGAAUUCCUAGUGUAGCGGUGAAAUGCGUAGAUAUUAGGAGGAACACCAGUGGCGAAGGCGGCUUACUGGACUGUAACUGACGUUGAGGCUCGAAAGCGUGGGGAGCAAACAGG
rnacentral:rRNA from 1 species